UACGGAGGGUGCGAGCGUUGUCCGGAAUCACUGGGCGUAAAGGGCGCGUAGGCGGCCUGAUAAGUAGGGGGUGAAAUCCUGCGGCUUAACCGCAGGGCUGCCUUCUAAACUGUCAGGCUAGAGCACAGUAGAGGCAGGUGGAAUUCCCGGUGUAGCGGUGGAAUGCGUAGAGAUCGGGAAGAACACCCGUGGCGAAGGCGGCUCUCUGGUACGUGACUGACGCUGAGACGCGAAAGCGUGGGGAGCGAACAGG
rnacentral:rRNA from 1 species